UAUCGUUUUCAUUGCUGUUUUUAGACUUUUCCGGAGGAGCUAUUUUCAAUUCUCCGAACAGUGCAUCUCUUGAGAGGAUUGAGUGUUGGUCUAGGCAUAAACUACUCGUGUGCCGAACAAUGGAAACCUAUUGCAGAAGAAGCUUUAUAUGCAGCUGGAACAUUAAAAGAUAAGGAUCCUAAUGCACGUAAAUGCGGCUUCUUAAGAAGAAUAUUUUGGAGACAUUGAUGGGCCUUGUGACCGGUAGACCUAGAUGAUUUGAAUGUUGUUGCUUCUAUAAUUGAUGUACGCUCUCAACAAUAUUUUUGGUGGAUCUAAAGAAAUGGAGGAUGAUUGGUGGAGGGUAGGAAGCAAAUGAACUUUACUAUCUUGAUCGUGGACUAAAUGAAGUAAGGAAAUUCUGGAGUAACUUUACUAAUCUUGAUCGUGAAUUGCUAAUCUUGAUUGUGAAGUUUAAUAUCCCUUUUAUUAUCAGGUUUGAUCCCUCUUUAAGUAGUUUGAAAAGUCUAGUUCCGUCAUUGUUGCAUGUUUCCGAGUUACAGUGUGAAGCUUGUGAGUUGAGCAAGCACCAUAGAGCGUCCAUUCUUCCUCAUCUUAACAAAAUGAGUGAUAAACCUUUUUAUUUAGUACAUUCGGAUAUUUGGUGUCCAUUUCA